rnacentral:lncRNA from 1 species
UACCAGAUUACCCAUUUGCGAAUGACGGUCUAAUGCUGUGGGAUGCACUUAAGGAAUGGGUAACAGACUAUGUGAAGCACUAUUAUCCAGAUGCGGAACAGGUCAGGUCGGAUGAGGAACUCAAAGAAUGGUGGAAUGAAGUGAAGAACAUAGGGCAUGGAGACAAGAAAAAUGAACCAUGGUGGCCUGAUCUCAAAACCCAAGAUGACUUGAUUGGCGUGGUGACUACGAUUGCAUGGGUGGCUUCAGGUCACCAUGCAGCUGUAAACUUUGGACAGUAUGGGUAUGGUGGAUACUUUCCCAACCGACCAACCACAGCAAGAACCAAAAUGCCAGUGGAAGAGCCGACAGAGGAAGUGCUAAAAGAGUUCUAUGACGAGCCAGAGAAGACCAUGCUUAAGACAUUCCCGUCGAAGAAGCAGGCGACCAAAGUGAUGUUGACUUUGGAUCUUCUAUCUGCACAUUCACCAGAUGAAGAGUACCUAGGAGAAAACCCAGAAGCAUCUUGGGCCCACGAACCUAUCAUCUAUGCUGCAUAUGAACGAUUCAAAGGCAAGCUCCAAUACCUAGAAGGAGUGAUAGAUGAGAGGAACGUGAAUGUUUCUCUAAAGAAUCGAACUGGAGCAGGUGUUGUUAAGUACGAGCUUUUAAAGCCUAUCUCUGAACCAGGCGUUACUGGGAUGGGUGUUCCCUACAGUGUGUCUAUUUGAUCUAACGCAUUUUGAUCAAAUGCAUUGGAAGUUCAUCUAUGUUUCUUCCAAAUUAUCAUCUAUGUUUCUUGCUUUCUUAAUAAAUAAUGAAUCUCAACCUUCUCAAGGGUACCUUGUUUUAUGUUUAUUGGACCAAAUAUUGUUGGACGUAGGGAAACGAGUACACCAAGUUGGCCUGACCUAUUGAAGAUUGUAUUCAAGUCUAGUAACGUAAGGCCUAUUAAAACAACCUGAAAACUUUUAGAAAAUUGUUGAAUUUUUUUUUAAAAAAAGGAAUCAAUUUUCAAACAAACAUAAAGAAAUACAGAAACUUUAUUAAUGAAACUAUGUGUUUUGCAUGCACAUGCAUAUUACAUAAUUCUUUUAUAGAUAAUUAUUAAUAGAUGUAGGGAAAUUGCCACAAAUACCACAUUAUUUUUCAUGUUUAUACUAAUUAUUUUUACAAUCACUUUUAAUGAAAAGUAAAAGAUACUUAUACCUUUCAUAUAAACGUAGGGUUAACUAAUUUAGACUUAUGGUUUAUAGUUGAAUGGUGGAGUAGGAUUUUUGGAAUGUAAAAUUUAUGAUUCUAAUAAAUAUAUAAAUAAAUACUUAAAAAAUAUAAAUUUGUUUUUAAAAAAUAGUUUCAAACAAAAUUUUUGAUUUUUAAAAAGAAAUUUUGAAAAAAUAUAUAAACAAAUUCCAAAAAUAAAAAUUCAAAAAAUAAAAAUUUAUAAAAAAAGUUCGAACUUGAAAAAAUAUAAUUCGAAAACAUUAAUUUUUUUUAUUUUUUAUUUUUUAUCUUUUUUAUUUUCUUUAUCUAAAUAAUGAUUUAUUAUAUAAAUAGAUAACAAGUGUAUAAGAGUCUUUUGUCACUUAAUGAAGAAGAUAUUUUUGAAAAUGUCCCUUUAGUGGUGGUAAAGAUGAAAAGUACCAUGAAAGUGGUAAACAUAAAAUUUCUCCAUAAAUAUGCUAUAAGUUUAAAGAUCAAAAUAUUAAAAUAAAACAUUAAAUUUAUAAAAUUUUGUGAAUGUUUUGUGAAUCUUUCAAUUUUAAAAUAAUAAAUGUACUAUUUUGUGAAUCUUUCAAUUUUAUAAAUUUAAAUUUUAUUAAUUUAAAAACAUUAGUUUUGGAUAACAACAUUAAUAUUUUAUUUUAAAAUAUGUUAUUAUCUUUAACCAGUGUUUAUUAUAUUAUAUUAUACAUAAUGCUCUAAUUAAAUAGACAUAUAUAUAUAUAUAUAUAUAUAACUGUUAAUAUAAAGUGAUGUUAUUAAACCAAAUUCUUGGAAUUAUUAAAACCUACAAAAUUUCAAAAUAAGUUAAAAGCACAAGAAUGUUAAACCGAACCCAAAUUUACAUAUUAUUUUAAUCAAAUAUUAUAUUAAUAAAAGUAAAUAAAAUUAUUGAUAUAUGUAUAAUUAUACAGAAAAUACCUCUUAUAAUAACUGAAUAAACAUUCAAACAUACCAACCAUUGCCAAACAAAACUUUAAUAAGUAAUGUAUAAAACAAGAACAUUUCCUAUUUAUUGUUAUUUUCAUUUCUAAAUAGUAUAAUAGAGAAAAAUAAGCUACAGUCAAUCUAUAUUUUUUACUUUAAAAUAGAUAUUUCUAUUUUCUUUAUUAUAAAAUCAUAAUUGUUAUUUUCAAAUGGUCUUUUAACUUUAAAAGUUAUAACUAAGACAUACCAUUUUGGAAAAUACAGUUUUGAUAAUAUUAAAUCACAAUUUUCUUUACUUUAUAGUCUUUUAAAGAAUUUUAAUCUAAAUAAAGUUAUAAUUCUCUAAAACUCUUGAAAAAAUUAAAAGUAAAUAGAGUUAAUUUAAAACUUUUAUAAAUAAAAGAUGCUUGUUGUAAACAAAAAUAAUAUUUUGAAAAUAUUCUCUUUUAGAAGCAGAUAUUUUGAACUUAGAUAACAAAUAAAUGUUAUUAUUGCAGCUGAAUAAUAAGAAUAAAAAUGAAAAUACCAAAAACUUAUUUUAACAAACAAAUACGAAUCAAAUUUAUUAUUAUUGGUUACAUACCUAUUUUAAUAUUAAAAUAAUCUGAACCCAAAUGGAUAUUCGAAAAAAAUCUAAAAAUUAAAAUUCCAGAAAAAAUACUCUUACUAAAUCCAAACUUAAUCCCAAAUAAGUACCCAAAAUAAUCGAUAUUUAAUUGAAUACCUAAAAUAAGUAGCUAUUACAUGAAUAAUGAAUUCAAAUAUUUAGUUUAACAUAUUUUGGUAUUUGCUGCUCUUCUUUCUUCUGUAUAGUUGCGUUUACCGGGUUAGGUGUGUUUGUUCUUAGGGUUUAUCGAAUAUAAUGUGUUUAAACAUAGUUUUUGAGAUUUGUUCUCUAUUUCAUUGUCUUUAUUCUCUAAUUGAUCUUGUCUAAAAUUACAUUAGAACCAUAAGGAAUUUGUACCAAGUUCAUUUCACAAUUUUCAUUUCAAUUUUUUAUUUUUGGUUUUUGUUUCACUAGAUCUCUAUUUGAUUUGUGUGUACAAAUUUUGGAACUGAAAAACCAAUUAAGAUCUAAAACCUAAAAUUAUAUUGGGUUCUACCGGUUUAUAGAAAUGUUACUAAACCCAAAUCAAUCCGAACCGAAUCCUAACCUGACUAAACCCGAAAAGAAUCCGAACUGAACUUUUAUAAUAUAGAAAUGGGGAUGAAAGUCAUAAACUGAAAUUUCAUUGAAUCCAAACCAAAAUCCAAAAUUAUAUUGGGUUCUACCGGUUUUUUGAAAAUGAUACUAUACCCAAAUCCGAAUCCGACUACACUCAAACUGAAUCUUAAGCUUACUAAACCGGAAAAUUGAAAAUUUUAAUAACUGAUUGAUUCUGAUCCAAACCCCGAUUGGUCCAUGAAGGCCAGGUGUAUAUUUCUUUUAUAAUAUCAAAGUUAAAAAAAUUAGUAGUAAGUUUUUAACAGUCAAAUAAUUCAUGUUAAAUUAAUUUUAAUUCGCUUUAAUUUAUUUAAGAUUAAAAAGAUUUAAUAAUGUUUUUCUUUACAUUUCAUCGUAUAAUUAAAAUAAUUACAAAAUAAAAAAAUAUAGAUAACUUAAUAUAUUUAACUUGAGAGAAAUUUUUUAAAACUAUAUUAUUUGUAUGAUUAUAUAGGAUCGGAAUGAUGUUGUUUUCGUGAUUGCAUAUUUUCAUCAAACAUAUAAGAUAUAAUGAGAUUAUAAAAUACAAUAUUUUUAAUAUUUUUAAUUAUAAUUUAAUUUAUCAAAUAAGUAUUUUAUCAAAAAAGUUGACAGCAACCGACCAACCGAAAUAUCAAAAAAGAAUAUAUAUAACUCAGCAAAAAAUAAAUAAGAAAAUGGGUUAAGAAUUCUAUCAUUUGUAUGAUUAUAUGAUGGGUUGGGUUACUGUUGUUGUUUAAGAGAUAUACAGAUAUGUUUCCAUCAAACAUGUAACAAAUUAAAUAUUUAUUAUUAAAAAAAUAUAUAUAUUUUUGUUGGCAGCGUAUUUUUAUUUAAAAAAUCAAAAUUAAAUAGGUUCAUCUCAAAACUAGCAUUUUUCUAAAUUUGAAAAUGUCCAAACACACAAUCAAUAAGUCUACGCUAUAGUCCCAGAUGGACCCAUAUCAAACACAAUCAAUAAGUUUAUGUCAUAUCAAACUACACUAUUAAGUUUUAUUUCAUGUAACUCCUCUGUUUAUGACAUAAACUUCUGGCCAUUACCGGCAAGUGCGUCCUCAUAAAUUCGACAGAGAUACGUACGAUGCCAUUCAUCAAUUUUUAGUUAUAAGUUUGUUAACAACAACAAAAACGUGCUGGGAAGCACUUCUCUAGAAAACAACAAAACAAUAACAAACAUCUAUACUAUUAUUUGCGAAGUAAAUUUUCGCAACGGAGCUCCCACGUUAAAAGUUAGAGUGGUUAAUAUCGAUUAUACCCUUAAUGAAUUAAAUAUAUAAAUUAGUAACAAAUAAAAACGAAAUUUUAAUUAAUUUGAUUAGAUAAUUGAUUAAUAUUAAGAAUAGUAACAAUUAUCCAAAAUCUGAAAAUAUAAUUAAAAAGAAGAUAAUUUCUGUAUAUAUUGUAUUGUUAUCUGUAAAAGUAUUUUAGUAAAACUUAAAAAUAUAAAUUAUAUAAUUAAAUAUUAAUCUAUACUAUUAUUUGCGAAGUAAAUUUUCGCAACGGAGCUCCCACGUUAAAAGUUAGAGUGGUUAAUAUCGAUUAUACCCUUAAUGAAUUAAAUAUAUAAAUUAGUAACAAAUAAAAACGAAAUUUUAAUUAAUUUGAUUAGAUAAUUGAUUAAUAUUAAGAAUAGUAACAAUUAUCCAAAAUCUGAAAAUAUAAUUAAAAAGAAGAUAAUUUCUGUAUAUAUUGUAUUGUUAUCUGUAAAAGUAUUUUAGUAAAACUUAAAAAUAUAAAUUAUAUAAUUAAAUAUUAAUCAAAUAAAAAUUUUAAUUAUAUAAUUAAAAUAUAAUAUUGAGUUAUUUUAAUAAUGAAUAUAGUGUACAAAGAACUUUUCAAAAAUUUAUGAAAAUGUUUAAGCCCGCAUCGCGGGCAAAACACCUAGUUCUAAUAAUUCAACUAAGAAAUAAUGUAGUAAAUUCUUUAAGCAACAACAAAAACAUGCAGUGGAGCACUUCUCUAGAAAACAACAAAAUACGAACACUCUAAUUCAACUAAGAAAUAGUUCUUUCCUGAUUUCUAUUGUAUGGUGUAAUAUGUUGAAAAACUAUUAAAAUUUUGAUUUAGCUAAUUAUCUUAGCAAAGGAAGAUUUACCAAAGGAGAUGGAUACUUAGAAGCAUGAUUUCAAAAUCGAUUGACUCAAAGAAGCUACCGAUCGAUAAAUCUAAAUUCAUCUGAUCGUCCGAUCUGGAGUGCAACGUGGAAAUCGUCGAGAGGAUUGAAUCGGUUGAUCCGAGAACCAUAAGUGAUCGACUCAACGUCUGAUCAAUUGAUCCCCUUCUUAGAAUUGAUUGAUCCUAUAACAAACUUGACCUAGUUUCAUUUUGGUCAACUGGUACUAGUUUUAAAAGUCUAAAUAUGUUUUCGGAAAAACCCCCAAAAUAACUCUUUUUCUCUGAAAAAUAUUUACCUUUUUGGUGAAAAUUUGGAUCUUUAUCUUCUUUUAAGCAUUUUCUUCUUCUAAACUUUUGUUUAUAUUGAUUAUUUUCCUUUAUAUAAUUGUUACCCUUGAAUUUAACAUGAGCUAAAGGGUUUUCGUGGAAAUGUCUAACCUUAUUGAAUUGUGGUGAUUAUAGAGUAGUCUCCUCUUAGACUCAUGGGUAAGGUUUAUUAUGAUUAUUGAUGUAUGAAUUGUGAUGCUUAGGGCUAGAUUAACAUUGUUUCGUACAUAUAAUGUGUUUUAAUGCUAAAUUAGAAUUAGUUACUUUUUAAGGUGAUGUCAUGGUUGAGAAGUGUUCAAUGAAAUGCUUGAAUGAAUUUCAUAUUGUGUUUUCCUUGCUUAGCCAACGAGAGUUGAUGUUUUGCAUACUAGAGAUGUAUUAUUACUAUUAGGAAUUGUUUCCAAUGCAUGAUUGAGUGUAGUUAGCCAACAUGAUUUGAUGUUAAAUGCAUGAUUAACAUAGGAGUUACUGUCACUGUAGUGGAUUAGUUUAUUUUAAAGAUCCUAGGUUGAAGAAAUAUGUUAAUUGAUUGUGUUUAGCAUUCAAAGUUUGAAAUCUAUUAUCCUUAAUUGGUUACCCAACUCCAUCAGUUUAACCUUUCAAACCUUGAUAAAAACUUGUUAUUUGCUGAAUUUCUUAAUUGAGAUCAUUGCCUUACACUUUUAAUCAUUUGUAUUUUAAACCAAACUUAAUUACUUAGCUUAAAGGACCAUCUGCAUUCUCUUUGCUUUAAGCCAUGGGUUGGAUUAACAUCUCUUACUACGUAUUAUGAUACAUUUGUGCUUACGACUGAGUAGUAUAAAGAACUUAAACUUAUUGGACACCAUUGAGAAGGCAAAAGAAGACAUUAGGAUCAUGGCUCUCUCUUAGUCCUCGUUUCUUAACUGUUACAGAUCACAGAUGAUUUAAUUGAAUUUGUUACAUACGCGAUAAAAUCACCAGAUUAUACAUUUUCAGUUCGUACAACCUCCACUGCAUAUACAACUUGUUUAAAAACGACUUCAACAUAUACAUUUUUUCUGACUGAUCCCACAUCAUACUACAAGUUAUGAUUUUUAUUACCUGAUUAGUAAUAUAACCGGAGAAACAAAAACAUAUUGUUGCACAGUUUUAUCCCGAAUGUCGUCUGAGUCGUCAUACUAAUCUUUCUCGGUAUUUUUACAACAAUGUUUUCUUCAUCCUUUAUUGUGCUACUAUAUCCUUGAAUCAUAUUUACUAUAGACUACAAUUUCUCUUUCCAUCAAAUUUAAAACAUCAAAAUUUUAAAAUAUUCCAAUAAUCAUUGCACAUAUUAAUUUCUAAACUUUAACUUUUAAUAUGACUAAUUUUUUUGCUAGAUAAAUCAACAUAAAACCAAUGGACCGGAUAGAAAAAUAAACAUUUUAUGAUUUCAUAUAUAUUCAUCUGUCCUCAGGUAAACUCCCACGAGUGUCAGCUACAUAUACAUACUUAAUGAAUCAAAAUAAUAAUAAUCAAUUACUAUUAUUAAAUUUAAAGUUUUACACUAUUUUUUGAACAAAAGUUAUAAUUUAAUAAUAUUUAUUCUAAUGUUCUGGAAAUAAAAAAAUUAAAAAGUAUCUCAAAAUAAAAAUAUCUCAAAUUAUUAUAAUAUGAUUUGAGAAGUUUUCUUUUACAAGUCUUGCUCGCUUUGAUUUUCCCAAACCUAAUUAUAUUAGUACUACUAAUGAAUUCAAAUAUAUUUGACAAUUAAAUUUUAUUAUCUAAAUAUUUAUAUUUUAAAAAUGUAAUCAGUUAUAGAAAUAUAUAUGUUCUAAAUUAACUUAACACCAGAUACAUAAUUCAAAAAAUAUGUGAUCAAAAAUUAAAAUUAUGGUUGGCACUUGAUGUGAACCAUAUAUUACUAAAUUGACAGAACAACAAUUUUAAUUUGGUGGUUAUUGCUAUAUAUCUGAAGCUCCAAUUGAUUGGUGAGUCUUUAAAAAGUUACAAGUUUGUCUAUGCAACUCCGGAGUGAUCAACACUUCAAUUUUUUCUCCCAUAAUUUUAUCCCAAAAGAAAGUAUUUCAACUUAUACAUAAUUUUAUCAAAUAUAGUUUUAUUUCUAAGAAUAUGAAACAAAAUAAACUCGAUUAAAAAUUUAACAUGAUUUAAGAUACCAAGUUAAGAAAGUUUAAUAUUAUGAAGUUAAGAUAGUAAGUUAAGAAAGUUUGUUGAUCCGGGUGCUCAGUAGAAAACAUUUUUUUCUACUUUUUGGAAUGAGAAAAAGAUUUAAUAUUUUCUAUACUUGUAUAAAUAGAUGUAGCGGGGAUGCACAAGAAAGUAAGCAAAAUAGAAGCAAACAGAUAAAAGAUGUUUUGUAAAGAGGCAUCGUCCAGUCUCCAGACCUUAAACAUAGCAAAGAGUCUCAGCUCUGAGUUCACUAAACCAUCAGCACUCAUCAACCCCCUCUCGGCAGGACAUCGUUACAAGCUGUGCCCUCGUCCAAACCUCAGAGGACGAUGUACGGUCACAGCCUCAAAGUUUGAUAUUGAUUGGAUACCGAAAGAAAGAGUUAAGAAAAUCAAAGUAAAGGGAAUUAUAACGGCCAAACAAGGCUUGUUACCUUCCGUUGGCGUCACCGAUUUGCUUGGAGUUUCACUGCUUGUCGAGCUUAUUAGCGCCGAGACUGACCCCCGUGAGUACAAUUAUCAGUCAAACAUAUUAUUAUUAUUUUAUAUAAGAAGUAAAAAGUAGGCUAAUGCAUCAGUAGUGAAUACUGGUAAUGAUACUUAACCAAGUCAUUAACACAUGUCAGGGACGCUUAUGGAGAAGGAUCCGGUGAAGGAUCACGCACGACGUUUAGUGAUUGAUGCACAUGGUGAGGAUCAGUACGAGUGUGUGUUUGACAUGCCCGAAGACUUUGGAGCGGUGGGUGCCAUCAGAGUUUUAAACGAGGCCCAUAGAGAGAUAUUCCUCAAGGAAAUGAAGCUUGAGCUACCUGACGGCCCCGUUACCUUUACAUGUGACUCGUGGGUGGCCUCCAAGUCAGAAGACCCAACCAAGCGGACGUUCUUCUCCAACAAGUCCUACUUGCCUCUCCAAACUCCCGAGCCUCUUAAACAGCUGCGAAAAGAGGAGCUGGAGACCUUGCAAGGCAAGAACCGUAAGCGUGAUGGUGAAUUCAAAAAGUUUGAGCGCGUUUACGAUUAUGACGUGUACAACGAUGUGGGUGAUCCUGAAAAAGAUCCAGAACUUGCCCGUCCCGUUAUGGGAGGCCUCUCUCACCCAUACCCAAGGCGGUGCAAAACUGGUCGCAAACCAAGUCGCAAAUACCCCUCCAUUGAGACACGCAAAGGGGAUUUCUAUGUCCCUAGAGACGAGGAGUGGUCCACAGUCAAGGGUACUGCAUUCACGGGCACGACAAUCUUGGCAGCUCUUCCUGCUGUGUUCCCACAGAUUGAAGCUGCUCUGGUGGAUCCCAAUAUGCCCUUCCCACACUUCAAGUCCAUAGAAGAUCUCUUUGAAGAAGGCAUCGAGCUUCCCAAGAAUGCUGGCAUUUUUUCUCUGAUCCCCAGACUUGUCAAAACUGUUGCUGAAGCUGAUGAUAUUCUCCAGUUUGAUUCCCCUAUCCUCCUUGACAGUACCAAGCUCUUUUUUAAUCCUCCAUUUAUAUAUUUAUUAUAUCCAAUUCUAUACAGCUAGCUACAAUUAAUCUCACUUUACUGUAUCAUUUACUUUGAUUCAGCGGAUAGAUUUUCAUGGAUCCGAGACGACGAGUUUGCUCGGCAGACACUUGCUGGCCUUAAUCCCCUUUGCAUUGAGCUAGUUCAAGUAAGCUAUAUACGCUUUAUCUAAUAGCUAUAUUAUCUUAAAAGUAAUUUUUCUAUGUUUCGCGUUCAUGUUAAUUUUUAAUACGGUUAACUACAUUGAUAACCUUAAUGAAUAAACUUAGGGGUGUUCAAUCCGGAUAUCGGUUCGGUUUUUUUCGGUUUUCGGUAUUCGGUUAGUAAAAUAUAACUACCAUUCUAAAUCCAUAUUUACUUCGGUUCGGUUCGGUUUAUAUACCGUCGGUUUUCGGUUUAUUCCGUUUUAUACCAAAAAACAUAAUUAUUUUGUUUAAGAUCAUAUUAUAUGAAUUUUAGAGUCAUAUUGUCAACACAGUCAUUUAUUAAAAAUAUAUUACAUGUUCAAAUAAAUGAAGAAAAAAAUAAAAAUAUUUCUACCAUCAAAUAAAAUAAUCAAAUCUAUAACUAAAAUCAAAGCUUGAAAUUUUGAAAAUAAAAAUAUGAAACAAAACAAAAACAUGAAAAAAAAGUUUUUUCACUCUUCCAUAUUUAGUGUUCAUUAAAGUCAUGUUUUUUCAAUUGAAAAUUUUCCAUUAAUUAUUGUCCUUCAAAUUUAUAAUCUUCAUAUUAAUUUAGUGAAGACUAAAAUAAAGCAAAAAGAUCAAAAGAAGACUUAGAAAAUAAAAUGUCUGAAUUACGAUGUAUUAUUAUUUAGUUAUAUUUCAAGUGUUUUACAAAUUAAGGUUUCUUAUUACUAUAAAAUUAUGGUAAUAGUUAUUAACACAAAUUUAACUUAUGUAACAAAUAGAUUUUCAUGUAUUGUUAUAAAAUAUAUACAUAUUUACAUGUUUCUACUUUUAAUCGGUUUUAUUCGGUUUAUUCGGUUUAAUCGGUUAUAUACCAAACCAUAUCCAAAUCCUACGGUUUUUAUAAAAUUAUAUCCAUUCGGUUGAUAUGGUAUAUACCAAAACCAAACCAUAUUGUCUAUUUCGGUUCGGUUCGGUUCGGUACGGUUCGGUUUUACCAUAUUGAACAGCCCUAAAUAAACUUGUAUUGUCAAAAUCAAAAUUUCUAUUUUAGUUUUUAUUAAGAUUUUUUUAAAUAACAAAAAUGGAAAAUAUCUAUAUAUCUUUGUAAAUAUAUUUGGAAAGUCUUUUAUGAACAAUUCUUACAUUGUUUUUUCAAAAGUCAGUAGUAAAUGUAUACUACAUUAAUAAGAAUUGGUUUAACAAUUAAUUAAUUUUGAAAAUAUUGUCAUUUAAAAAAAAAAAAAUAUAUAUAUAUAUACACAUAUGUAUAUACUCAGUGAUACAUAGAAAACAUAUUAUUAUUUUGUAUAUUAUCUAGUAGUUAUUUAGAACAUAUUAACGGAUAUUGAAAACAUUAACUAUUUUUCAAAUAAAAGUUACUACUAAAUUUAAAUUCGAAGUUGUUUCUUUCUUCUUCUUAUAAUGUUAGUUUUGGACUAUAGAAAUUAUAUAAAAAUUUAUAAAAUACUUACUAAUGUAAGAUGAAUAACCAAAAUAAAUGAAGAUAACAAAAUGAUUCACAAUAUUUUACCAUAAUUAGAGCCAAGAAAAACAGUUACUUCAAUUUAGUUAAAUUGUUCCAAUUAGUUUUUUUUUAAAAGUAAAUAAUCAAAUUGGUCUGAAUUCUUAUACCUAGAAUUAUACGUCAAACUGAGUUAUCGAUAUAAUUAAAAAUUAAAUAUAUUUUUCAAGACAUAAUUUAUAAACCUUCUUAAAUUUUAUAAACCAGUGAAAGCGAAACAUUAAUCAGUUAUUAUAAUUUAGUUAUUUGUAUGACUUUUUAGAGAUCACUGAUUAUAUUGGUUAGUGCAUGAAAGUGGUAAACAUAAAAUUUGCCCUUCUAACUAAAGUAACACUUACUUUUAUUUCUACUUCCUCAUAAAACAAUUUUUUUGUCUGACUUUUUUUGUUGACACCUCCUAAAACAACCUAUACAUUAAAUAAUAGAGUUUUUUCUAAAAAUAUAUUAACAAAUUAAUAUGAUGAAUCAAAACUAAGUAUAAUAACAAUAAUCUGAUUUUAAUAUAUUUAAAACCACAAUAAAUUAUGAUUUAUUUGGUAAUUAUAAAUAAUCUAAUAUACCGAAAAAUAAUAAUUGAACCUAUCUAAAUUGUUAUAUAUAAAAUAUCAUACUAAAUUGAGAUAACAACAUAAUUUUAUUUAAAACAUAACAUGAUAUUUAAUUUUCAUACAUUACUUUUCAUACAUAUUGAUUAUAAUAGAAUUUAAAAUUGAUCAACAAGUGAAAGCAAAAAGUUAUAAAUUAUAAUUGAUUAUUUUGUAAAUUUUUAUACUCGUGCAUGAGCACGUAAGAGUCACCUAGUAUGUACAUGGUUUGAUGGAAUUUCGUUUUUUAAAGAAAAAUCAUGUUUGGUUUUAAAACUAAAAACAGAAAAAGUAAGCUAAUUGAGAUCACAUUGUUGUUGUAGGAGUGGCCGUUGAAAAGCAAACUAGACCCUGCGGUUUAUGGUGAUCCCAACUCACUCAUUACUAGUGAGAUUGUGGAAAGAGAAAUCAAAGGAGUUAUGUCAUUUGAUGAGGUAACAUUAACUAAUAUCCACAUGUUUUAAAGAAAAAAGCAUAUAUAUAUAUAUAUAUAUCCAUCCAUCCAUAUGAAGUAUUUCCAUAAUGAAUACGUAUCAAUGGAUGUGUGCAUGCAAGGCUCUGGAGAACAAGAGAUUGUUCAUGUUGGACUAUCAUGAUUUGCUUCUACCGUAUGUGAACAAAGUGAGAGAGUUGGAUGAUAGCACCUUAUAUGCUUCUCGAACACUAUUCUUCCUCAACGAUGAUAGCACAUUGAGACCUGUUGCCAUUGAGUUGACUCGUCCCCAAGAUGUAAACAGUCCCCAAUGGAGGCAGCUAUUCACGCCAGGAUAUGAUGCUACCUCCUGCUGGCUAUGGAGUCUUGCUAAGACUCACGCUAUUACUCAUGACGCUGGUUAUCACCAGCUUAUUUCCCACUGGUAUUGAACAAACUUGAUCCUCUCGUAUAUAUAUGGUUAUACACAUUAGACUUAUGUGUUAUUGCUGCUAAGAGAUGGAAAAAAUUUCAGGCUGAGGACUCACUGCUGUAUGGAGCCAUACAUUAUAGCGGCAAAUAGACAACUAAGUGCCAUGCAUCCUAUCUAUAGGCUUUUGCAUCCCCACUUCCGCUACACCAUGGAGAUCAAUGCUCGUGGACGCCAAAGUCUCGUCAACGCAGGUGGAAUCAUUGAGUCUUGUUUCUGGCCCGGAAAGUAUUCAUUAGAGCUAAGUUCAGAUGUCUAUGACAAACAAUGGAGGUUCGACAGGGAAGGCUUACCUGCAGACCUAAUCAGCAGGUACGUAAUUCCUAAGACUAUACUUAUUUCUUUGUAAGUCUUAAUUUAAGUGUUCUAAAACUUGGCUCCAAGGCGUCCGCCCAUUCGAAUCUAAAUAAAAUGAUUUUUAUAUACCUAUUUUUUUAAUAAAUCGGUUUAGGCAUUCAAAAAAUCGGUCUAGAUACCUGCCUAAGCAAUAAUCUCAUACAAAACGCAUAAUACGCGCAUAACGAGUUCUUGAACAUCGAUUUAUACUAAUUAUGCUAACAACUUUUUACAUUUAAAAUUUUGUGAUAUCAAAGGGGUCUGGCUGUGGAAGAUGAGACGGCUGAAUAUGGGGUACGCUUGACGAUACCAGAUUACCCAUUUGCGAAUGACGGUCUAAUGCUGUGGGAUGCACUUAAGGAAUGGAUAACAGACUAUGUGAAUCACUAUUAUCCAGAUGCAGAACAGGUCAUGUUGGAUGAGGAACUCCAAGGAUGGUGGAGUGAAGUAAGAAACAUAGGGCAUGGAGACAAGAAAAAUGAACCAUGGUGGCCUGUCCUCAAAACACAAGAUGACUUGAUUGAAGUGGUGACUACGAUUGCAUGGGUGGCUUCAGGUCACCAUGCAGCUGUCAACUUUGGACAGUACGGAUAUGGUGGAUACUUUCCCAACCGACCAACCACAUCAAGGAUAAAAAUGCCAGUGGAAGAACCGACAGAGGAAGAGCUAAAAGAGUUCUAUAAGGAUCCAGAGAAGACUAUGCUUAAGACAUUCCCGUCGAAGAAGCAGGCGACGAAAUUGAUGUUGACUUUGGAUCUUCUAUCGACACAUUCACCAGAUGAAGAAUACCUAGGAGAAAACGCAGAAGCGUCUUGGGUCCACGAACCUGUCAUCUAUGCUGCAUAUGAACGUUUCAAAGGCAAGCUCCAAUACCUAGAAGGAGUGAUAGAUGAGAGGAACGUGGAUGUUGCUCUAAAGAAUCGAGCUGGAGCAGGUGUUGUUAAGUACGAGCUUUUGAAGCCUAUCUCUGAACCAGGCCUUACCGGGAUGGGUGUUCCCAACAGUGUGUCUAUUUAAUCUAAUGCAUUUUGAUCAAAUGCACUGGAAGUUUUCAUCUAUGUUUCUCCCAAGUUAUCAUCUAAGUUUCUUGCUUUUGUAAUAAAUAAUGAAUCUCAACCUGCUCAAGGGGUACUUUGUGCUGGGCAGCGGUGAAGGAGUUUGAUGUUGUCAUUUCUUUUGGGAAUAAGACUUAAUGUGUGGUUAUCUUAUGUUUAUUGGACCAAAUAUUGUUGGACGUAGGAAAACGCAUCGAGUUGGCCUGACCUAUUGAAGAUUGUAUUCAAGUAUAGUAAGUUAAGGUCUAUUAAAACAAUUUUACCUGGAAAAGUUUAUGAAAUUGAUGAAAAUUCAUAACCAGAUCCGAGUAAACUUUUAAAUAAACAAAAAAAAUACUGAAAUUGAAUUACUGUAAAUCCGGGUAGGCUAUGAUAAUUUAUAUUAUUAAAACAGAAACAUUGUGUUGGACCUACCAUUUAUUUUGUAAGUUUUUUAAUUAAAUACAUCUUUUUACUUUAUAGUUAACCAUACAUUAAAUCACUAAUAUUUCUAACAGCGCAAUCACAAAUGAAAGUGUAUUUCACUUCAAUCAAACUAGAAUAAUAUCUUAACCAAGAGGGUGACAUUAUUAUUGGCUACAAUAACUCUGAGCCAAUCCCAUAUCAACACUAAAAUCAUUCGUUCACUCCCUCAUCAUUUUUUUGAUCUAAGAGACUAAGAGCUUCAUACAACAACUCAGAUCAAUUAUAUAAAUGCUUGUACCAGUAGCUCUGCUGAUGAAAAUCUCCAGAAGAUGCGGAGUCUUCUGAUAGGGACAAAACUACUUGGACCAAAAGAGAAGAAGCUACGAUAUAUAGCAUACAUGGAAAUCACUAUUGAAGAAGAAAGAAGAAGAACAUAGGGUUCAGCAAGAAGAUGAGCAAAAGAGAUACAAAGGUUGAGUGAAAAGGGCUUUGAGGAAGAAUUUUAUUUUAAUUUUGGUGUUUUUAUUUUAUUUUAGUGAAGGUUAAAUUCGAUUAAUCAAGGGAUAAUAGCCUAUUAACAAAGUCCUAAUGAAAUAAACUAAAGUUUAGUGUGUUUCAUUUUGUUAAUUCUCUCAAGAAAAUAUAAUUGACCAAGAAAUUAACUAUACUUAAGAAAUUCCAAUUUAAAUAAAAUUUAGAUUGAACUAAAAACAAAUUAAUCACUAAAAUAGCUCUCCGAUGAAACUUUGCUACUAGUUACAUAAAUCUGAUUUUCAAAAAGAUCAGAUGGCAUCAACCCUCCCUAAUCCUUGAUUUGGUCUUUUGGGCAUUAACCCACAACAUACAAAAAUACGAUGUUGGAUGAGGCAUGUUCAUGGCGUCGACCCUUAUCUUUCAAUAUACUUUUAACGGGUGGGAAACAAAUCGAAUCCGAAAACCCGAACCGAAACCAACAUGACAAAAAUGAAUUCGACCGAACUGAAUCCGACAUAAAUACUGAAUGGACUUAUGUUACGAUAUUUUGGGUCAUGGUUUUACCCAAACCGAAUCCGAACCCAAAUGGAUAUCUGAACAAACUAAAAAUUUAGAAUUCCAGAAAAAAAUUUAUACUAAACCUGAACUUAAUCCCAAAUAAAUACCCAAAAUACUCUAAAAUUUCAUUGAGUACCUAAAAUAAGUGUCUAUUAUACAAAAAUUAACUCAAAUUAUUAGUUUAAUAUAUUUUGGUAUUUGGUGCUCUUCCUUCUUCUAUAUAGUCAACUUUAUAGGGUUUGAUGUGUUCCUGCUUCUCGUUUAUCAGAUAUGAUGUAUUUGCACAUAGUUUUUGAGUUUUGUUUUCUAAUUUUACUUGUCAAAUAUUACAUUGGAACCAAAAAUAAUUGUGACAAGAGCAUUUCACAUUUCUCAUUUCAAAUUUUCAAUAUUUGUUUCACUAGAUCAUUAUUUAUUUUUCAGGUUUAACUAAGUAUAAACAAAAUUUGGAACUGAAAACCCGAUUAAAUUCUGAAACCCUUAGUAUCUGUAAUAGCCUUAGUCAUUGUGUCUUGCGCCAAGAAAUGAAGAUGCUGGAAAAUUUUAAAAUUUCUUGUCAUCUAGAUUGCUGAGAUUAUCCAAGGCGCCAAGGGACAGUCAUAAAGUUUGGUAGGUGGGAGUGUAGUAGCCUUCAAAGCCAACUUCUAACCAUAAUUAAAUGAGUUCAGAGGCAAAUGAUCCAAUCCGCCUAAAGGUGGUAAGGUACCAACUCCCAUACUUUUUGUGUAAAAGACACUGGAAAAUGAAUGCUGGAUAGAUUUUAUAAAUUAUAUAUACAAAGAAAAUUUUAUAUAUUUUAAAUUAAUAACAUAUUUAUAUAUUAUAUUAAUAAAAUUAUUAAAUUAAAUAAUAAAUAUAAUUAAAUUAGGUAAUAUAUUAAAAAUUAUGCACAUAAAACAACAUAGAAUUACGUUUUCAAAUAAACUUAAUUUUAAAAGUUACUAUUAUAAAAAUAUUUAAAUAAGUUUUAGUUUAAAAAAAAAAUUGGAUGAAAUUUCAAAUUUAUUAAUCACUCAAAAAGACAUGCAUUACAAAAGAAUAAAAUCUAUGCAAACUCGGUUCCUAUAUGAAACGUUUAACCUAUGUGGCAAAGAAAAGAAUAAAAAAGUAGCCAAAAUCAAAUUGAAAGCUGAAAAAAAAAAUUGAAAGUUGAAACCAUCUCUGUAGUAGCCCUACAUACUAAUGUCAUGGGUCAUGGGCUCGUACUUUGGUGACAUUAUUCUAUUUCUUAAUGCCUUAUCAACUAUCUUAGUGAGUUUUUUUUUCUUAGAACAACUAUCUUAGUGAGUUGUACAGUUGUUGUCCAUUUUGUUUUUAACCAGGGGCACCAUGUUAUAAACACUCAAAUUUUUUUUUUUGAUGGAAGCACUUUUACAUUUUUCUUCAAUAAACUAAUGAUAUUUGAUAAAUUAAAUUAAACUAUCAAAGAAAAACCAAAAUAUAGGGGGCACAUGACCCAUACCGACUUAUUUUCGUCUGCCCCCUGGUGGUGACGACGAGCAGUGGCGAAUCUAGGAAAAAAAUUUUGUGGAGGCAUAAAUUAUUUUUAUAUUUUCAAAAAUAUUAUUUAUAUAUAAAUCAUACACUAUUGAAAACAAAAAUUAUUAUAUAAAAUAUUGUAUAGGAAUAUGUAGACGUUAGUUUAAAAUGGUUUUCCUUUAUAAAAUAUGUGAUUACUCUUUAUAUCCUUAAAAGUAAAUAUACAUUCUAAGAAAUAGUUAUUCAAUAAUAAUUAACAAAAAUGAUGAAAGAAAACAAGAUAUAGUAAAAAGAAUAUAUAUCAUAGAUUCAUAUAUUAUUGUAUGUUGAAAUCCUCAAAGUAAUGAUAAUUAGAUUGUGCAUUUAUGGGAGAUGUAAAUUAGAAAAUAGUUUAAAAUUUAUGCUGGAAACUAAAUAACUUUAGAAAUAAAAGCAAAAACGUGAGUGAAAACGUAAACCAACGGGAGGAAAUACAUUUAGUUAGUGGGGGCAAUAACCACUAUAGUCAACAUUAUCUGUUUUGUUAUGGUUACUAGAUCCUUUCUCCGCGCUACGCGCGGAUAAUAUAUUUAAAUUUGUUACAUUUAUCAUUUUUGUUUGUAUGCAAAUUUUUCUAUAUUAAAUUAUAUAUAACUAAUUUUUAAAUUUGAUUUUUUUUUAUAUUUUUAGUUUGAAGUAAAUAUUUCUAUUAUAUGUAACAUAAUUAACUAAGAAAAUAUGAAAAAUCAAGUCCGAGAUUUUAGAGUUAUGUAAAAAAAAUAUAAUUAUGUAUAGAACACAAAUUAUCUUAGUUUAAAAGAUCGGAAUCUCAUCUCGAAUAAAUUUACGAAAAGAAAAAGUACUCCAAUAACCUACUUAAAAUAUAAAACUUCCUUUUAAAAAAAAGCGUACUUAAUAAUAUUUUUUUACGUGUAAUAGUUGAAAACUGACAAUUGAAUAUCGAUCUAGAAUAUUAUUUUAAUAUAUCUAAUGUAAAAUAUUAAUUGUAAUAAACAAAUUUUGAAUUUUGUAAUAUUACAUGAAUUAGAAGUCUUUAAAAUCUAAAAUCUAUUUUAUUAACAUACUAUAUAUUUUAUUCAUUUAUUAUUUUUACGUUACAAAAUAUUGCUUUAGUUUUAUUUGUAUAUUAUUUUUUUAAUAAUUUAGAUUCUUUUUAAGUAAUUUUAAAAUUAUCAAGAAUAUAAUAUAUUUAAAAUUAUUUAUUUAAAUAUAUCCAAAUAUGAUGUCUCAUUUUUAUGUGUGUUUGCGUUGAGCAUAUUUAAUUUGUAAUUUGUAUAUUUAAUAACACCUUAUUGCGUGUCGUUCUAUGGUUUUAAUAAAUAUGUUGUCAUCUCAUUUUUAUUACUACUAACAUGAUUUUUUAGUGAUCAGUGAUAAUGUAUUUUUAACGUUAUGUAUUAUAUUUUAUUGUAUAUUUUUUAACUCUUCGUGCUGGCACUUUUUUUAGAAUCAUUUUAAUUAUAUAAUAGGUUUCAAGAUGUAAAUAAAACUGUGUAUGUUGUAAAUUUAGAUUUUUUAGUGUAGCUGAGCACUAUAAAUUAUAGAAAUUAUAUUAUGAUUUUAUUUUACUAAAUCUUUUAAUCUGUGUAUUUUUUUGUUUUAUUUUGUAUUUUUACAAUUUUAUUGCAUUAUUCUUUAAAUACAGAGAAUUGAUAUUUCCAAUUUUUGUUUCAUAUACCUUAAAAGUCUUCGGUUGAUUUUUGCUUGUUUUCUUUCUCUAAUUAUAAUGUACAGUUCGACCGUUUCUUCUUUUUUUUGGAUCAAACUACUAAUAUCAUCAGAUAGAAAAGCUUAAACUCUAAGAAUUGAGUGAGUAUUUGUGCUAGAGAAAACUGAUUUAACCAAUAAUAUAGUGAGAUAUUAUAAUAUUAGAAGGUAUGGAAAGUCUUCUAUAUUGUCCUACGCUGGACAUAAUUAAGUUAUUGCCAAUUGAUUCUAUAUUUGUGAUAACUGGAAAUACAUCUUUAUGUCUUCCUUACAUCAUCCUUAAUUGAUUUAUGGUUCGACUAUUUCUAAUAUACUGAGAGUAACAUAAAAUUAGAUGUUGAUUAUCUCCUCCCAAUUAAGAAUGUACAGAAUGAGAGAAAUUCAAGAUGAGAUCAGUUUACAAUUUUGUCUUCAUAUCUAUAUAGAGUUAGUUUAUAGAUUACUCUAUAUGUUUCAAAAUGUAAUCAAUUUUAAUUAAAAUAUGUAAUAUUUAAAAGUUAUUACUUUAGAAAUCUGUUAUUUAAUAUAUAAAUUUAAUCAAUUACACAGUAAUUUACAUAAUUUAAUUGGCUACACAAUAUCUAAUAAAUAUAAAGUUACAUUGAAAUAUAAAAACAAUUUAUAUAGUGAAAAAAAAAUAUUUUUAAACCAUUAUGUUAUAAAACAAAGAGAAUAUUCAAAUUAUAUUGAACAUUAGAAUAGUAAAAAUCAGAAAAGCUGAAAUCUCAACGUCGAUCAUUUACGUUGGCUAUGUUAUUAACUUUGAAGAUAACGUGAAUGAUCAAGAACAAAAAUAUUAAUUUUAGCUUCAGUCUUUUUUUUAAUCAGAUUAAUUUUAGCUUCAGUCUUUUUUUUAAUCAUUUUACCAAAAAGAAAAAAUAACAGAAAGAUGACUAAUAAAAAAGAUACAAACAGAGUACUGCAAAAAGGUGUUGAUCACAAUAGCAAACAUUAUAGUCUCAAAAAUAGUCAACUUUAUAUUAAAUAUUAGUCAAAAAUAAUAAAAUAUAUAAUAUUAAUAAAUUUCAUUUUAAAUAUAAUUUAACUUUAAAAAAAAUUUAUCAUUGUACAUGGUGCAGAAAAACACCUAGUAUUAUUUGAAUUUCAAAAACUAUAUGAUGCACUAACUUUUUGUGACAAAUCAAAUUUAAGGAACUGGGCAAGAGAUUGAGAAGAGGGAUGUGGAGAGGUACAAAGAGUCUUCACUUGAUGAGUUAUAAUGGAGCAUUGAAGUGUCAUUGUUGUAGUCGUAGAAGUUAUACCGGUGAAGUUGGGUAGACGAACAGAUUUGGAGUCGCUGGAGAUGUCUGAGGCAAGUUGGCUAAAGAAAAGGAAGCUAUAAGUUAUACAAUGGGCUGGCUAUUUUGACGGAUUUGGAUGGUUCGAGACCCAUCAUCUAAACAUUCGCGAUGACGUGGCAGUUUGAUUGGUAGAGAAUAUUUUAUCCUAUGUGGCACUCCUAAUAAGCCUCAAAAUUAGUAGCUUUUAUAUAGUAGGAUAUAUUUAACAUUUUUAAAAUUAAGUGGGGGCAGCUGCCCCCUCCCUACGUCACCUAGAUUCGCCCAUGACGACGAGCUUGCUCCCUUCAUAUGUGAUACAUAGUAGUCAAAAUACCAUUUUGGCUAUAACUGAGUCUAAAUGGCUGAGGCACGAUCCUUCAAUACUAUUAAAUGGUUGAGGCGUAAUUGACGAUGUGCGCGAGUUUUUGAACACAGGAUUCACAUAAAAAUUUUGUUUCGUUUCAACUUUGUUUCACAUUAGUCUAAUUUACAAUGCUUAAAAUUUAGUUUAUCAAAUGAAGUUUUUAAAGUGAAAAUAACAAACUAGGUAUAUAUAUAUAUAUAUUUAACUUGAGAGAAAGUAAAUUUUUAAAACUAUAUUAUAUGUAUGAUUAUAUAUGGAUCGGAUUACUGUUGUUGCUUUCGUGAUUGUAUAUUUUUCAUCAAACAUGUAAGAUAUUAAGAUUAUAAGAGAAAAAAACAAAUUAGUAUUAAUUAAAACUUAAUUUAUCAAUAAAUAUUAAAAUCAAAAUAUAGAUAUUAAAUAUAACUUGAAAAAAUAUAUAACUAAAUUGAUUACAAAUUAUAUCAUUUGUAUGAUUAUAUGAUGGGUUAGAUUACUGUUGUCGGUUAAAAGAUUACAGAUUUUUUUCCAUCAAACAUGUAAUAAAAUUAAACAUUUUAUUAAAAAUUAAAUGAUUCUUUUCAAAAUAAAAAAAUAUACAGGUUCGUCUAAAAACUAGCAAUUUCCUAAAUUUGAAAAUGCCCAAAACACAAUAAAUAAGUCUACACUUGCAUGGGGUCUCAUAUUAUUGAUGUGAAAUAUUUGCAUGGGGCCUUACAUUAUGGACCCCCUAUUUUUAAACAAUAGCAUAUAUAUAUAUAUAUAGGUAUAAAGUAGUAUAAUCGAAAAAUUAGUUUAUAAAUAUAAUAAUACACUAUUAAGUAAGUUUCAUAUUAUUAUGAUUUAGAUAUAAAAAAAAUAGUUGUGAAGUUAAAGCAAAGAAAAUAUCAGUUUAUUUUUAAAAUAUUAUAAUAUCUCUUAAAAACAUAACCUAUUUUGUUUGUAUUGAUGUUUUUAUUUUACAAUAACUUAUCUUUUUCUGUAAUUAUUUAGUAUAUCAUUUUCUAUAUUAUAAACUAUAAUUCUUUAAAUAAGAGUUUCGUAAAAUUUAUUAAAAAAAAUUGAUUAAUAUGAAUAAUUUUAUUUUGAUAGGCCCUUAUAUCCACCGGACAGGCUCUUACUGUUAGUUAUCUAGUUCUUAUGUAAGUUAAUUAAAAGCACAUCCUUUUUUUUGACUAAAAUCCAUUUAUAUAGUUAGUAAUCACAUAAUCAAUUAAGUAACAUUUUAACUCGAGGACUCAGUAAGUAGAGAACUUUUUUCUACUUUUGGAAAUGAGAAAAGAUUUAAUAUUUUCUAAAUUUGUAUAAAUAGAUGUAGGGGGAUGCACAAGAGAGUAGCAAAAUAGAAGCAAACAGAUAAAGAUGUUUUGUAAAGAGGCGUCGUCCAGUCUCCAGACCUUAAACAUAGCAAAGAGUCUCAGCUCUGAGUUCACUAAACCAUCAGCACUCGUCAACCCCCUCUCGGCAGGACAUCGUUACAAACUGUUUCCUCGUCCAAAUCUCAGAGGACGAUGCACUGUCACAACCUCAAAGUUUGAUAUUGAUUGGAUAGCGAAAGAUAAUGUUAAGAAAAUCAAAGUGAAGGGAAUUAUAACGGCCAAACAAGGCUUGUUACCUUCCGUUGGUGUCACCGAUUUGCUCGGAGUUUCACUGCUCGUCGAGCUUAUUAGCGCCGAGACUGACCCCCGUGAGUACAAUUAUAAGGCAAACAUAUUAUUAUUAUUAUUAUUAUUAUUAUUAUUAUUAUAUAAGAAACUAUCACAUUUUGAGUAUAAAUUUAUAAGACCAUCAUUAACCCAGUUUUUUAACUGGGGUUCUUUGGCUAAGAGACGGUUCUUAAAUAAGAAAUAUAAAACCAUCUCUUAGCUGAAAAGUGUAAAAAACAAAAAAAAUGUCAAAUCAUAAGUUAAGAAUCCAUGUUAAGAGAUCGGAGUUAAUCAUGUCCUAAUGUGAAGUAAAAAAGUAGGCAAAUGCAUCAUUAGUGAAUACUGGUAAUGAAACUUAACCAAGUAAUUAACACAUGUCAGGGACGCUUAUGAAGAAGGAUCCGGUGAAGGAUAACGCACGACGUGUAUUGUUGGAUGCACAUGGUGAGGAUCAGUACGAAUGUGUGUUCGACAUGCCCGAAGACUUUGGACCGGUGGGUGCCAUCAGAGUUUUAAACCAGGAUCUUAAAGAGAUAUUCCUCAAGGAAAUGAAGCUCGAGCUACCCGACGGCUCCGUCACCUUUACAUUUAACUCGUGGGUGGCCCCUAAGUCCGAAGACCCAACCAAGCGGACGUUCUUCUCCAACAAGUCCUACUUGCCUCUCAAAACUCCGGAGCCUCUUAAACAGCUGCGAAAACAGGAGCUGGAGACCUUGCAAGGCAAGAACCGUGAGCGAGCUGGUGAAUUCGAAAAGUUCGAGCGGGUUUACGAUUAUGACGUGUACAACGAUUUGGGUAGUCCUGAUAAAGAUCCGGAACUUGCCCGUCCCAUUUUGGGAGGUCUCUCUCACCCAUACCCAAGGCGGUGCAAAACUGGUCGCAAACCAUGCGACAAAGACCCCUCCGCUGAGACUCGUAAAGCAUUGGAAUUCUAUGUCCCCAGAGACGAGGAGUUCACCACAGUCAAGGGCGCCCAAUUCACGGGCACAGCAGUCUUGGCGGCUCUUCCUGCUGUGUUCCCACAGAUUGAAGCUGCUCUGGUGGAUCCCAACAUGCCCUUCCCACACUUCAAGUCUAUAGAAGAUCUCUUUGAAGAAGGCAUCGAGCUUCCCAAGGAUGCUGGCCUUUUUCCUGUGAUCCCCAGACUUGUCAAAGCUGCUGCUGAAGCUGAUGAUAUUCUCCAGUUUGAAUCCCCUAGUCUCCUUGACAGUACCAAUUUUUAAUCCUCCAUUUAUAUUUAUAUAUAUAUAUAUCCAAUUCUAUACAGCUCGCUAGCUAGCUACAAUUAAUCUCACUUUACUGUAUGAUUCAUUUUGAUUCAGAGGAUAGAUUUUCAUGGAUCCGAGAUGACGAGUUUGCUCGCCAGACCCUUGCUGGCCUUAAUCCCUAUUGCAUUCAGCUAGUUCAAGUAAGCUAUAUACGCUUUAACUAAUAGUUUUUAUUCUUCUUUUGAUUGUUCCCACUAAAGCAAGAUCCAUCCCUAUUAUAUUAUUAAACAAGUUAGUAUUUUACUUGUCGCUUUCAAGUUGAUUCUAAAACGGUUAAAUACAUUGAUAAUCUUAUUAAAUUAAUCUUAUUGUAAUUGCUAUUAUCAAAAUUUCUAUUUUUGUUAUUUUAUCUUUCUAAAGCUAUUUGAAAUUAUUUUAUGAAAAUUCUGAUCUUAAUUUUCUCAAAACUCAGUAAUAAAUUUAUACUGGAUUAAGAAGAAUUAGUUUUAAAAUUAGUUAAUUUUCAAAAUAUUGUUGAUUUUUUUAAAAAUGUUAUAUAUAUAUAUAUGUAUAUAGUGAUACAUAAACAAACAUAUUAUUAUUUUGUAUAUUAUCUCUUAAGUAAUUAUGAGAUUUUAUGUAGUAUAUCUACAGAUUGAAAACAUUUACUAUUUUUCAAAUAAAAGUUACUAAUAAUUUAAAUUAGGAGUUUUUUUAUUCUUCUUAUAAUGUUUAGGUUUAGGACUUAAUCCCUAUUUCAUUCAGCUAGUUCAUGUAAGCUAUAUACAGUAGAACCUCUAUAAAUUAAUAGUAAAUAAAUUAACAAUCUCUAUAAAUUAAUAAAUUUUACCGGUCCCAUCUUGGACCGGUUCAAAAUUUGACAUAAAUCGAUAACAUAAUAAGAUAAUAAUUUUUUAGAAAAUUCUAUGUAAAUAUAUGGUCCCAUUAAAAUUAUAAAUUAAUAAUUUAUAUGUAUACAUAUUUUAUAUAAGUAAGAAUCUAUUAUUAUAUUAUUUAAAUUCAGAGUUUUUUUUAAUGAGAUUUAGUAAUAUUAUAUCUAAAAACACAUUUAAGUUUUAUGCAAUAUAUAUUAUAUACACCAAAUAAUAUAAUAAAAGUUAUAUAAAUGUAAAAUUUAAAAAAUAAAAAUUAAUUUCUAUAAACUAAAAUCAAAUAUUUUUUUAUCUUAGAAUAAAUAUAUCUUAAAAUGAUAUAUCAAAAGAAGAUUUUUUUUGUAAAUUAAUAUCUCUUUAAAUUAAUAAAAUUUCAAAGUCCCAACAUUAUUAAUUUAUAGAGGAGAAAUUGAACAAGAGACCUUCAUCACACUUAAACUUCACUAAACCACUACACUAUAACAAACAUUUUGUAAUUUUAAGCCUCAAAAAAGUCUAUAUUUAUUUGAGGGCAUAAAACAAAAGUCUUUUUUAUUAUAUGAUGUGCACGGCCCUGAUUGUUCCCAGUAAAGAAAGAUCCAUACGUUACAUGGUUUAUGAUUUUUUUUUUUUUUUUUACAAAGCCAGCUAGUUAAAGAUCAGAUCACGUUAAUUGUUGUUAUAGGAGUGGCCGUUGAAAAGUAAACUGGACCCUGCGGUUUAUGGUGAUCCUAACUCACUUAUUACUAGUGAGAUUGUGGAAAGAGAAAUCAAAGGAUUCAUGUCAUUUGAUGAGGUAAAAAAUUAAUAAAUAUCCAUCAGGUUUUAAGAAGAAAAAAUACAUAUAUCCAUCCAUCCAUAUGGAGUAUUUCCAUAAUGAAUAAAUAUCAAUGGAUGUGUGCAUGCAAGGCUCUGGAGAACAAGAGAUUGUUCAUGUUGGACUAUCAUGAUUUGCUUCUACCGUAUGUGAACAAAGUGAGAGCGUUGGAUGAUAGCACCUUAUAUGCUUCUCGAGCACUAUUCUUCCUCAGCGAUGAUAGCACAUUGAGACCUGUUGCCAUUGAGUUGACUCGUCCCCAAGAUGUAAACAGACCCCAGUGGAGGCAGGUAUUCACGCCAGGCUAUGAUGCUACCUCCUGCUGGCUAUGGAGUCUUGCUAAGACUCACGUUAUUUCUCAUGACGCUGGUUAUCACCAGCUUAUUUCCCACUGGUAUUGAACAAACUAGAUGUAUAUAUAUGCUUAUUUUGUUGAUACUAUUAUUUAGUUUUAACUGUAUAGACAUUAAUACACGUAUAUUUUACAGGCUGAGGACUCACUGCUGUAUAGAGCCAUACAUUAUAGCGGCAAACAGACAACUAAGUGCGAUGCAUCCUAUCUAUAGGCUUCUGCAUCCCCACUUCCGCUACACCAUGGAGAUCAAUGCUCGUGCACGCCAAGUUCUCAUCAACGAAGGUGGAAUCAUUGAGUCUUGUUUCUGGCCCGGCAAGUAUUCAUUAGAGCUAAGUUCAGAUGUCUAUGAUAAACUCUGGAGGUUCGACAGGGAAGGCUUACCUGCAGACCUCAUCGGCAGGUACAUAAUUCCUAAGAUUAAUAUUUUAGAACUUGUUUUUGUAUACAAAAGAUUAAUGUUUUGCUUUUAAUUAAUAGUACAUUUUGGUUUAAAAUUAAAACGUAAAUUAAGAUUUGAAAAUUUGAAUAGUUAAACUUUAUUGGGAAACAAAUAAAACUAACAAAAACUAAUCAAUAUAUAUAUUUUUUAUUUUGAUUGAUAUGCAUGCAAAUUCUAAAACUUAAUCUUUUAAGUGAAGAGCAAGUACUUAUUUUAUUUGGUUUGAUCAAAAAGAUACUUAUUUCUUUGUAUAUAUUUUAUACUAGUUAUGCUAACAAUAUUUUUACAUAAAACAAAAAAAAAAUGUGAUAUCAAAGGGGGCUGGCUGUGGAAGAUGAGACAGCGGAACAUGGGGUACGCCUCACGAUACCAGAUUUCCCAUUUGCGAAUGACGGUCUAAUGCUGUGGGAUGCACUUAAGGAAUGGGUCACAGACUAUGUGAAUCACUAUUAUCCAGAUUCAGAACAGGUCACAUUGGAUGAGGAACUCCAAGGAUGGUGGAGUGAAGUGAGGAACAUAGGGCAUGGAGACAAGAAAAAUGAACCAUGGUGGCCUGUCCUCAAAACACAAGAUGACUUGAUUGAAGUGGUGACUACGAUUGCAUGGGUGGCUUCAGGCCACCAUGCAGCUGUAAACUUUGGACAGUACGGGUAUGGUGGAUACUUUCCCAACCGACCAACCACAUCAAGGAUAAAAAUGCCAGUGGAAGAGCCGACAGAUGAAGAGCUAAAAGAGUUCUAUGAGGAUCCAGAGAAGACCAUGCUUAAGACAUUCCCGUCGAAGAAGCAGGCGACCAUAGUGAUGGUGACUUUGGAUCUUCUAUCUGCACAUUCACCAGAUGAAGAGUACCUAGGGGAAAACCCAGAAGCAUCUUGGGCCCACGAACCUGUCAUCUAUGCUGCAUAUGAACGUUUCAAAGGCAAGCUCCAAUACCUAGAAGGAGUGAUAGAUGAGAGGAACGUGAAUGUUUCUCUAAAGAAUCGAACUGGAGCAGGUGUUGUUAAGUACGAGCUUUUGAAGCCUAUCUCUGAACCAGGCGUUACCGGGAUGGGUGUUCCCUACAGUGUGUCUAUCUGAUCUAAAGCAUUUUGAUCUAAUGCAUUGGAUGUUAUCAUCUACGUUUCUCCCAAGUUAUCAUCUAUGUUUUUUUUGCUUUUGUAAUAAAUAAUGAAUCUCAACCUGCUCAAAAGUACCUUAUUUGUGCUGGGAAGCGGUAAAGGAUUUUGAUGUUGUUAUUUCUUUUGGGAAUAAGACUUAAUGUGUGGUUAUUUUAUGUGUAUUGGACCAAAUAUUGUUGGACGUUGGUAAACGACCGAUUGAGUUGGCCUAACCUAAUGAAGAUUAAUUGUAUUCAAGUAUAGAAAGUUAAAGGCCUAUGAAAACAAUAUUACCUGGAAAACUUUAGGAAAUCGUUGAAAAUUCUAAACCAUAAUAUUAUGUUUUGUGUUUAGGUUAAAUGGUUAAAUGUUUUAUAUCAUAAUAUUAUUAGUAUAUUUAGUUAAUAUAAUUGAGGAACACUUCGGUAUUUUGGUUUGGUUUGGUUUAAAACCAAACUAAACCAUUUUUAUUCAUAAAAUCUUUAACCAAAUAGUUUAGACAUAUACUUUUGGUUUGGUUCGUCUCGGUUUGUGUUCUUAUUUGCCACCCCUAAUUUGUUGAUUAUAUGAUGGUUUGGGUACUGUUGUUGUUUACAAGAUUACAGAUUUUUUCCUUCAAACAUGCAACAAAAUUAAAUAUUUUUUAUUAAACAAAUAUAAAUACUUUUAUUUAAAAACCAAAAUUAAACCGGUUCAUUUAAAAACUACUCCCUCUGUUUCCUACUAUAAGUAAUUUAAGAAAACAUUGUUUGUUUCAAAAUAUAAGUACUUUCAUUAUUCUAUAUAAUUUUUUUACUUUUAUUGUGUAUAGUAUGACCAAUCAAAUAAUAUACUUAUUUAUGACUGGUUUAACUAUACCUAAUUUAUAUAUCAAAUGAUAUUUUAAAAAUAAAUAAUAUAUUUCUUAAUCUUUGUGCAUUGAUCAACUAAAACUUUCUACAUAUAAAAACAAAGGGAGUAGCAUUUUUCCUAAAUUUGAAAAUGCCCAAAACACAAUAAAUAAGUCUACACUAUAGUCGCAUAUGAACCUAUAAGCUUUAUUUUCUGUCUUCUUUAGAUAUGGCAUAAACUUCUGGCCACUACCGGCAACUGCGUCCUCAUAAAUGAGACUGAGAAGUUCGGUAAUUUUUAGUUAUAAGUUCGGUAACAACAACAAAAACGUGCAGGGAAGCACUUCUUUUGAAAACAACAAUAUAAUAACAAACACUAUAAUUCUAGGGUGAAUUUGUGGAAUAACUAUAUUGAAAAAAAUAUUCACUAAGUAACCAUAUAAAAAGAGAAGUUCGGAUGUGAUAGCUUCACACAGAAAUGGACCAAAUUUUCCUUCUCCGCUCAUGGUUGUGCAUCAAGAGCGAUUUGUAAAAUUAGACUAUACUAUAUUUAUUACGCAAAUAAUAUAGAAGAACUGAUUUUUGAUUGUUGUUACACGAAGUUAAAAAAAAUAAGAAACGGUGGACGAGAUGAGGAAACGAUGGAUGGCGACAGUGGUGGAGAAAAACACGGUAGCGAUGUUGAAACAAACGGUAGUAGUGAUGGUACUGAUGUUACAGUUGAAUACCAUGAAAAACACAAUACAUAUUGUGCUACAAGUCUAUUAUGUAGCUCUAAAAUAUAAUAGAAUAUAAAAACAGUACAUUGUUCAUUUUCUCCAAUUAUGUUUACUAAUGGCGGCAGAGAUUGUAUCACACGAAAAUGAUGCAGAAGAAGAUAAUAGUUAUGAUGGAAUAAUCAGUAGUGGUGAAUAUUACAACCGGAGGUGAUUGAGGAGGAAAAGAGGCAGAAUGAAGAUUGAAGAGGAUAAUUAAAAAGCAGGAGGAGUGAAGGAACAGAAGGAAUAGGAGGAUGAAAAUAAAGCAAUGUCCAUUCUAUAUUUUUACUAUCUUGAUGUAUGAAUUGUGAUGCUUAAGGAUAGAUUGACAUUCCUUUUUACAUAUAAUGUGUGCUUAGUGCUAGAUUAGACUUAGUUACUUUUAACCUAUGUUUAAGGUGAUUUCAUGUCUGAGAGGUGUUCUAUGAAAUGUUUGACUGAAUCUCAUAUUGUGUUUUGCAUGUUUAGCCAACAAAGUUGAUGUUUUGCAUACUAGAGAUGUAUUAUGACUACUAUGACUUGUUUCCAAUGCAUGGUUAAGUGUCGUUAGCCAAUAAGAGUUGAUAUUGAAUGCAUGAUUACCAUAGGAGUUAUUAUCACAAGAGUAAAUUUGUUUAUACUUGUGAUCCUAGGAUGAAGAAGCAUGAUAAUUGAUUAUGAUUAGCAUCCAAAUUUUGAAAUCUAUCAUCCUUAAUUGGUUACCAAUUCCAUGAGUUAACCUUUUAAACUUUGAUUAACACUUGUUAUUUGCUGAGUUUCUUGAUUGGAAUUGAGAUCACUGCUUUCUUAAUCACUUCUAACCAUUAGUAUUUUAAACCAAACUUAAUUACUUAGCGUAAAAGACCACUUGCAUUAUUCUAUUUGCUUUAAAAAUCGUGGAUUGGGUUGACAUAUCUUGAUACGUAUAUGAUAGAUUUGUUCUUAUGAUUGAGUAGUAUAAAAGAAAUAUUAAACUUAUUGAACACCAUUGAGAAGGUAAGAAGACAUUAGGAUCAUGGCUUUCUCUUUGUCCUCACUUUCACAUCCACUUUUACAGAUCGCGGAUGAUUUAAUUGAAGUUUUAACAUAUGCGAUAAGAUCACCAGAUUAUACAUUGUCAGUUCGUACAACCUCCACUACAAAUACAACUUGUUCAAAAACGACUUCAACAUAUGUAUUUUUUCUUACUGAUCCCACAUUUCACUACAAGUUAUGAUUUUAAUCACCUGAUUAGUAAUAUAACCAGAGAAACACAAAUAUAUCGUUGAACAGUUUGUUCAUGUAUAUCGUCGUACUAAAUCUUUUCCGGUAUGUUUACGACAACACCUUCUUCAUCCUUAAUUGCUCCACUAGAUCCUUAACUACUUUUUAUUAUAGACCAGGAUAUCUCUUUCCAUCAAAUUUAAAACAUAAAAAAUCAAAUAUUCCGUUUUUAGUGCACAUACUUUCAUAAACUUUAACUUUUAGUAUGACUUAUUUUUGCUAGUUAAUUAAAUCAACAUAAAACCAAUCGACCAAAUGGAAAAAUUCCAAUUAAUCACUGCAUAUAUAUUCAUCUAUCUUAAUAAUAUUGUGUAAAAAGUAAAAAUUUUACGUAUCACUCUCACGUUAACUUUCACGAGUGUAGCUACAUGUAUAUAUAUACUUAAUGAAUUAAAAUAAUAAUAAUAAUCGAUUACUAUUAUUAAAUUUUAUUUUUAUUUAAUAACAUUUAUUCUAAUUAUGGAAAUAAAACCUAGAAAAUAUCUCAAAAUAAAAUAUCUCAAAAUUAUUAUAAUAGUAUUUUAGAUGUUUGCUUUUACAAGUCUCACUUGCUUUGAUUUUUAAAAAUCUAAAUAUAUUAGUAGUAUUAAUGAAUUCAAAUAUAUUUAGCAAUUAAGUUUAUUUUAUAAAUAUUAUAUUUUAAAACAUAAUAAAUUAUAGAUGAUAAACAUAUAAUUUGUUAUUUUUAUUUCAAAUAAUUGGAAUUUUAAUAGUUAAUAUUUGAUAAUAAAUUAUUAAAGUAUUUUUAAUUAACAACUCUAUUUUUUCUAAUCAAUAUUAUUUAUAAGAUGAUUUUAAUGUAUAUUAAAAUACUUGAACUAAGAAUAAUUUUACUAUGAAUGUAUUUUGAUCAAAUAAUUAGAAAAAGGGAAUUUAUUAAACUAAUAUACCUUAAUCAUAUGAUAUCAUAAAAAAAUUUGUGUUAAAUUGACUUAAUACCAAAUACAUAAUUUUAAAAAUAUGGGAUCAAAUAUUAAAGUUAUGGUUGGCACUUGAUGUGAACCAUGUAUAUUACUAAACUGAUAGAAUAAAACUGUUAAUUUGGUAGUUAUUGGUAUAUCUUUGACACUCUAAUUGAUUGAUGUCUUUUGAAAUUACUAGUUUGAUUAGUUUAUGCAACUCCGGAGUAAUCAACACUUCUAAUUUUUCUCCUAUAAUUUUAUCCCAAAACAAAAUAUUUUAAAUUAUAUUUAAUUUUUUCAAAUAUAUUAUUAUUCUAAGAGUAUGAAUCAAAAUAAAUUCAAUUAAAAAAUUAAUUUGAUUUAAAUAUAUUUAGUAACUAAAUAAAAUAUGGUACAAUUUAGAAAAACAAAUGAAAUUCAAUACCAAAAAUGAAUAACUGAAGCAAUAUGAAUUAUUUUACUUUAAAUGAUAUAUCUACUUAAAAGAAAAGAAUAUUGAUAUUUAACGCAAUCUUUUGUUAAGUUUCAUACAUAUAAAUAACAAAACGAUUUAAGACUUAUAAAAAAAAGAGAGUAAAAUAUUAAGCAAUUAUAUUGAUCUAAUUAUAUUGUAAAUAUUUAAAGACACUAAACAAAUGUGUCCACAGAGAUAAGGGGUUAUGUUUUGGGUUUUAUUUGAAUAUUUAGAGAGAAAGUUCAUUUAUGUGUUGUAUUUCACUUUUGAGAUUGUACGGAUAUUUCAUAGAUAUUCUAUAGCUACAAAAAUAUUAAAUAGUUAAAGCUGAGUCACAAAAAAAAUUGAUUUUUAAAAUGACUUAUAUUACAAUUUUAAUCAAAUUAAAUUAGAAAAAAUGAUAAAGAAAAUACAUAAAUUAUUUUAUCAUCAGAAAUAUAAUAAAUGUUAUUUAGUUCUUAUGUAAGUUACUCAAAAAGCACACCUAUUUAUAUAGGGUGUGAGUGACCAAAAAUAGAGUAAUUGGAAGGAAUAAAAAUUAGAGUAAAUUAGUAAGAAAAGAAAUGAGAGAGAAAAAUAAAGCUGGAGUAAAAAGUUUACUCCAUAAGAAACGGAAGAAAACUUUUAAGUGUUGCUCAAAAAGAAACUUUUUAAGUUGAAAAUUCACAAAAGACAUAAAUAAAAAGGUAACUCUACAUGAAACUAUAUUUUUUUUAUUGUGAUUGAUUCUGUAUCAGCGCAACUCAGUUGAAAAUUAAUUUUACUCUAAAAUUUUAUGCUAGAAAGGCUAUGCAGUCACUCAUAGUUAGUACUCACCCCAUCUAUAUCAACAAAGUAACAUGCAAACUCGUGGACUCGGUAAGUAGAGAACUUUUUUCUAAUUUUAGAAAUAAGAAAAAUAUUUAAUAUUUUAUAAACUUGUAUAAAUAGAUGUAGAGGGGAUGCACAAGAGAGUAAGCAACAUAAAAGAAAACAGAUAAAAAGAUGUUUUGUAGAGAGGCGUCGUCCAGUCUCCAGACCUUAAGCAUAGCAAACAGUCUCAGCUCUCAGUUCACUAAACCAUCAGCACUCAUCAACUCCCUCGCGGCAGGACAUCGUUACAAGCUGUGUCCUCGUCCAGACCUCAAAGGACGAUGUACGGUCACUGCCUCAAAGUUUGAUAUUAAUGGGAAAGGUAAAAUAGUGAAAGAAGAAGUUAAGAAAAUCAAAGUAAAGGGAACUAUAACGGUGUUGUCCCAAGAAAAAAAAAAGAAGGGAACUAUAAUGGCCCAAGAAGGCUUGUUACCUUCCGUCGGAGAAUCACUGCUCGUCGAGCUUAUUAGCGCCGAGACUGACCCCCGUGAGUACAAUUAUCAGGCAAACGUAUUAUUAUUAUUUUUAUAUAAGAAGCUAUCGCAUUUUGAGUAUAUAAAUUUAUAAUGUGACGUAAAAAAGUAGGCUAGUGCAUCAUUAGUGAUUAAUGGAAUGAUACUUAACCAAGUACUUAACACAUAUGUCAGGGACGCCAAUGGAGAAGGAUCCAGUGGAGGAUUACGCACAACGUGAUGGACAUGAUGAUCAGUACCUACAGUGUGUGUUCGACAUGCCCGAAGACUUUGGAGUGGUUGGUGCCAUCAGAGUUGUAAACCUUGAGAGUAAAGAGAUAUUCCUCAAGGAAAUGAAGCUUGAGGUACCCGACGGCCCCGUUACCUUUACAUUUAACUCGUGGGUGGCCCCCAAGUCCGAUGACCCAACCAAGCGGACAUUCUUCUCCAACAAGUCCUACUUGCCUCUCAAAACUCCUGAGCCUCUUAAACAGCUGCGAAAAGAGGAGCUGGAGACCUUGCAAGGCAAGAACCGUGAGGGAGAUCAUGAAUUUAAAAAGUUCGAGCGGGUUUACGAUUAUGACGUGUACAACGAUGUGGGUAAUCCUGACGAAGAUCCAGAACUUGCACGUCCCGUUCUUGGCGGCCUCUCUCACCCAUACCCAAGGCGGUGCAAGACUGGUCGCAAACCCUGCGUCAUAGACCCCUCCACGGAGACACGCCAAAAAGAUUUCUAUGUCCCCAGAGACGAGGAGUUCAGCAAAGUCAAGGGUGAUGCAUUUACGGGCACGGCAGCCUUGGCAGCUCUUCCUGCUGCGUUGCAACAGAUCGAAGCUUUUCUGUUGGAUCCAAACAUGCCCUUCCCACACUUCAAGUCCAUAGAAAAUCUCUUUGAAGAAGGCAUCGAGAUUCCCAAGGAUACUGGCCUUUUUUCUUUGAUCCCCAGAAUUUUCAAAGCUAUUGCUGCUAAAGCUGAGGAUAUUCUCCUCUUUGAAUCCCCUAUUCUCCUUGACAGUACCAAUCUCUUUUUUAAUCCUCCAUUAUAUAUUUAUAUCUAAUUCUGUAUAAAGCUAGCUACAAUUAAUCUCACUUAACUGCAUCAUUCACUUUGAUUCAGAGGAUAGAUUUUCAUGGAUUCGAGACAACGAGUUUGCUCGCCAGACACUUGCAGGCCUUAAUCCCUAUUGCAUUCAGCUAGUUCGAGUAAGCUAUAUACAGGGCCGGGCCUGAGCACAAGCUCAUCAAGCAUUGGCUUGAAGGCCGAUAGUGUCAAAAAUAAGUCAGGGGCCAAUUACACUAAAUGUUUGAUAGUUCAGAUGGCAAAAUUUUCUUGCCACCUAACGUAGGAUGCCGGGUUCGAAACCCAUAUACAGUAAUUUUGCAAUGAUUUUUUUAAAAAAGAAUUAUUGUAGGGCCAAAUAAAUUUUAGUUGCUUAUGGGCCUAUAUAUGUCAGGCCCGGCCCUGGCUAUAUACUAAGCUUUAACCAGUAGUUUUUUCUUUUGAUUGUUCCAAUAAAGCAAGAUACAUACGUACAUGGUGUUGGUGGAAAACUGAGCUAGUUAAGAUCACAUUGUUGUUGUAGGAGUGGCCCUUGAAAAGCAAACUAGACCCUGCGGUUUAUGGUGAUCCCAACUCACUCAUUACUAGUGAGAUUGUGGAAAGAGAAAUCAAAGGAGUUAUGUCAUUUGAUGAGGUAACAUUAACUAAUAUCCACAUGUUUUAAAGAAAAGGCAUACAUAUAUAUAUAUAUCCAUCCCAUCCAUAUAGAGUAUUUAUUUCCAUAAUGAAUAAAUAUCAAUGGAUGUGUGCAUGCAAGGCUCUGGAGAACAAGAGAUUGUUCAUGUUGGACUAUCAUGAUUUGCUUCUACCGUAUGUGAACAAAGUGAGAGAGUUGGAUGAUAGCACCUUAUAUGCUUCUCGAACACUAUUCUUCCUCAACGAUGAUAGCACAUUGAGACCUGUUGCCAUUGAGUUGACUCGUCCCCAAGAUAAAACCAGGCCCCAAUGGAGGCACGUAUUCACGCCAGGAUAUGAUGCUACCUCCUGCUGGCUAUGGACUCUUGCUAAGACUCACGCUAUUUCUCAUGACGCUGGUUAUCACCAGCUAAUUUCCCACUGGUAUUUAACAAACUAGAUCUUCACUUAUAUACUCUCUUCGUAUACAAAUGUAAUAUGUUUAAGGUUUCUCACACAUUUAAAAAAAAACAAUAAAUACAUUCUUUUAAUCAUUACUUUUUGAUUUUAUCAACAAAGUUUUACCACUCAUAAUUUUAGUUUUACGGAUAAAUACAUUAAUUAUAUCAUAAAACAUCACUUUUGUAUACAGGAUAAAAAGCUAGAAAUCAUAUAUUUGUAUAAGGAGAGAGGUUAUAUGGUUAUUUUGUUGACAACAGUAUUUAGUUUUAAAUUUUUAAUUGUAUAGGCAUGAAUACACGUAAUGUGUUAUCGCUGUGAAAAUUGUACAGGUUGAGGACUCACUGCAGUAUGGAGCCAUACAUUAUAGCGGCAAACAGACAACUAAGUGCGAUGCAUCCUAUCUAUAGGCUCUUACAUCCCCACUUCCGCUACACCAUGGAGAUCAAUGCUCGUGCACGCCAAAGUCUCGUCAACGCAGGUGGAAUCAUUGAGUCUUGUUUCUGGCCCGGCAAGUAUUCAUUAGAGCUAAGUUCAGAUGUCUAUGAUAAACUCUGGAGGUUCGACAGGGAAGGCUUACCUGCAGACCUCAUCAGCAGGUACGUAAUUCCCUAAGUUUAUAUCAAGGAUUUAGGGGUUGGGUCUCGGCCAGCAGGAAUAAAAACAAAAACAAAAAAAAGUAUUAAUCUAUACUAAUUAUGCCAACACCUUUUUACAUUAAAAAAUUGUGCUAUCAAAGGGGGCUGGCUGUGGAAGAUGAGACAGCGGAACAUGGGGUACGCCUGACAAUACCAGAUUACCCAUUUGCGAAUGACGGUCUAAUGCUGUGGGAUGCACUUAAGGAAUGGAUAACAGACUAUGUGAAGCACUAUUAUCCAGAUGCGGAACAGGUCAGGUCGGAUGAGGAACUCAAAGAAUGGUGGAAUGAAGUGAAGAACAUAGGGCAUGGAGACAAGAAAAAUGAACCAUGGUGGCCUGAUCUCAAAACCCAAGAUGACUUGAUUGGCG